GCUUAACACAUGCAAGUCGAACGGUGAAAGCGGGAGCUUGCUCCUGCUGGAUCAGUGGCGAACGGGUGAGUAACACGUGAGCAAUCUGCCCCGAACUCUGGGAUAAGCGCUGGAAACGGCGUCUAAUACCGCAUAUGUCCUGAGGGACAAAGAUUCAUCGGUUCAGGAUGAGCCCGCGUCCGAUUAGCUAGUUGGUGGGGUAAAGGCCUACCAAGGCGACGAUCGGUAGCUGGUCUAAGAGGAUGAUCAGCCACAUUGGGACUGAGACACGGCCCAAACUCCUACGGGAGGCAGCAGUGGGGAAUAUUGGACAAUGGGCGCAAGCCUGAUCCAGCCAUGCCGCGUGAGUGAUGAAGGUCUUAGGAUUGUAAAGCUCUUUCACCGGGGACGAUAAUGACGGUACCCGGAGAAGAAGCCCCGGCUAACUUCGUGCCAGCAGCCGCAGUAACAC
rnacentral:rRNA from 1 species